rnacentral:rRNA from 1 species
UUAAAUUGAAGAGUUUGAUCAUGGCUCAGAUUGAACGCUGGCGGCAGGCCUAACACAUGCAAGUCGAACGGUAACAGGAAGAAGCUUGCUUCUUUGCUGACGAGUGGCGGACGGGUGAGUAAUGUCUGGGAAACUGCCUGAUGGAGGGGGAUAACUACUGGAAACGGUAGCUAAUACCGCAUAACGUCGCAAGACCAAAGAGGGGGACCUUCGGGCCUCUUGCCAUCGGAUGUGCCCAGAUGGGAGUAGCUUGUUGGUGGGGUAACGGCUCACCAACGCGACGAUCUCUAGCUGGCCUGAGUGGCUGACCAGCCACACCGGAACUGAGACACGGUCCAGACUCCUACGGGAGGCAGCAGUGGGCAAUAUUGCACAAUGG